AAAGUCACAUGAGGCAAUCAGGCUUUUUUUUCCACGAGGAGGCAUAAUAUGUUCCUUUCCCAUUCCAACCAACCAAAAUAAAGCCUGGCAAAUCCCCAAUUUCACAUGCUUAACAGUAUUGUGUCUUUUUAUCCUUUCCUCCUCACCUUCAAGCCUAUUACCUAGCUGGAAUUUCUUCUUUCCCCACCAGCAACAAAUUACUUCAUGAAAAGUGUCCUUUCCUUUAAAUAUGAUGAUGCAUAUGCGAAGACCAAACUGUUCUGCCAAGGCAAGAAUGUGCUGGCUUAUUACUUUUAAGGCCACCACCUCUCUGCUGUCCUUGUGCACUGCUUGACAUUUGGAAAUGAGAGUACGGAUUAUAUUUAUAUAUAUACACUUUGCUUAAGCACUUUUUUAUCAGCCAAUCACUACCCAAAGAAAAAGCAAUGCUGAGUG
rnacentral:misc_RNA from 1 species